CUAUCAAAUCUGUUCGAACCCUGGUUGUGCUCGGGUCAAGAAGUGGCCAUGACGGCAAAAAAAUCGCCUGAACUCAGGGCACCCUAGGCAUGAUUAUCAAUGAUUAAGUGAAGCUGUUCUUACAGUGUUUUCAACACGAGGGUAUUUUCCAUUGCAUUGUGGUCAAAUAUGAAUUUCACUUUCAACUGCCCAAUACCAAUAUGGCGAAAUCACCAAGAUUGUGUCCAUAGGGAAAUUCUGAAGCCAAAAAUCACAAUGAAGAGUCUAGUUGAAAGUGGCAGAAACAUGUGGAUAUCUCUUGUUUUCGACCAAAGUUUCUGUUUGUCAAUGCAUAACUAAUAGUGAUGUGAUUUGAAGCCAAAUGAAAAAAAAAAUUGAAUUCCUCAAAAAUCAGUUCGUUUUGAAAAUCAGUUCAUUUUGAAAUUCCGCAAGAGUUGUCAUACUAAUCCAAAAACUUUAUAUGCUCACUUCUUAAAAUGUAAUGAUGAAGCUGAGUCUUGGGUUUGUGGCCUAAUCACACAAAUAUCUG